GCGCCCAUAGCUCAGUUGGAUAGAGCGUGAGAUUGCGGAUCUCAAGGUCGCAGGUUCAAGUCCUGCUGGGCGUA
rfam:Candidatus Portnoybacteria bacterium RBG_13_40_8 RBG_13_scaffold_6055, whole genome shotgun sequence.